AUUGAACGCUGGCGGCAGGCCUAACACAUGCAAGUCGAACGAGUGGCGGACGGGUGAGUAAUGUCUGGGAAACUGCCUGAUGGAGGGGGAUAACUCCUGGAAACGGUAGCUAAUACCGCAUACCAUCAGAUGUGCCCAGAUGGGCUUAGCUUGUGGGUGGGGUAAAGGCGCACCAGGGCGACGAUACCUCGCUGGUCUGAGAGGCUGACCAGCCACCCUGGAACUGAUACACGGUCCAGGGUCCUACGGGAGGCAGCAGUGGGUAAUAUUGGACAAUGGGCGCAAGCCUGAUGCAGCCAUGCCGCGUGUAUGAAGAAGGCCUUCGGGUUGUAAAGUACUUUCAGCGGGGAGGCGUUACCCGCAGAAGAAGCACCGGCUAACUCCGUGCCAGCAGCCGCGGUAAUAC
rnacentral:rRNA from 1 species